rnacentral:rRNA from 1 species
CAGCACCUCAAGUGGUCAGGGAUGAUUAUUGGGCCUAAAGCAUCCGUAGCCUGCUUUGUUAGUUUUCGGGUUAAAUCCACACGCUCAACGUAUGGGCUGCCGGGAAUACUGCAAAGCUAGGGAGUGGGAGAGGUAGACGGUACUCGGUAGGAAGGGGUAAAAUCCUUUGAUCUAUUGAUGACCACCUGUGGCGAAGGCGGUCUACCAGAACAUGUCCGACGGUGAGGGAUGAAAGCUGGGGGAGCAAACCGGAUUAGAUACCCGGGUAGUCCCAGCUGUAAACUAUGCAAACUCGGUGAUGCAUUGGCUUGAUGCUAAUGCAGUGCCGCAGGGAAGCCGUUAAGUUUGCCGCCUGGGAAGUACGUACGCAAGUAUG